AUAACACAGGUAAAAACACAUUUUCCACAAAGUCAAACAUUGUAAUGAGAAACUUUAAGUUAUUCCCCACUCAAAAAUCCCCCUGGUGAGUAAAUGGACUGAUAAAAUGAGAGUCUGCAUGUGUUCAUUACUGUUCUUCAACGUUUCUUUUUUGAUUUUCACAUUGCUCACAUUAGUUCACUGAAAUACACAUGCUUUACAUUCAUUGACAUAUAGCAGCUGUUUGAGAGCCAUUACUUAAAAUCUGUCUUAUUGAUGACUUGAGGUUUUAACCAAAUCCAAUCCUUCCCUGAUUCAUGGACAUGGCCUCAUUAGUUAUUUGCCUCCAAACUAGUCAAUGGGCUCUCAGCUGCGUGGUCAUUAAAAAUGUCAGUUGCUCUUGGCGCUCACUCUUAAGUAUUUCCAGUCAAAAUACAAAUGUGGAAAUCAACAUUCCAGAUACCACUGAUUCUGGUCACUGCAGGUUGUUCAUUAAUAUGUGAGCGUAUUAUUGAUAAAACCCCAAAAUCGGUAAAACGUGUGUGAAGCGGACAACGUGGUCUUUUUACCCUAAAACUGUGCUUUAAGCCCAACAAAGCUGAACAAGUGCUUUGAACAGGCUCUUUGAAAAACCUGCCUCACCCUACAAACAUCAUUGUGCCUACUUGGCAGAACAUUUGUUUGGCUAAACUGCGAUAACAUCUGUUUAUGUUUGUCUCCGUUAAGGCACAAAAGAGCCUUGACCGGUGCAAAGUGAGAUACUACUUCUCUCACUUAUCUCUUAAGUCCAAGGAGUCAGGCUAUUUCAUGAAAUUCUACUCUACAGACCAGUCAUCAAUACUCCCAGAGAGAGAAGACUUGGUGGGUUUGACAGCGCGGCUCGACGUAAUCAAUAUGUGCUCGGUGAGGAGAUUUCUUUCCCCAUCUGUUAUAUCUUUAAUUCAUAUUUUAUCAUUAUUUUACAGAGAAACUGUAGAAAGAAAAUGUUACAUCAACGAUUCACACAGAGACCUUGGCGAAUGGCUCAACAGCCGUAUAUUCUUAUUAAGGUCGUCAGCUGUGUUGCCAGCUUGGCUUUGUAGAGACACUAAUGAAAUUACGGACAAGACCCUCUGCCCAGUUACUGCUCUUUUUUCAGCUCAGUCAUCAUCACCCAGCUGCUGGAUAUAUCCUCUCAUACCAACCACAAGACUGCAUCAGCUUUCCUGCUGAAUUGAUUCAUUUAUGGGAAAUGUGCCAAGUUUCUUUAUCUAACGAGUUGGCUGCUAUGCUUUAGGCCAUUGAUAGAAGCUGCACUUCGAUAAUAGAAGCUACUCGUCCAGAGAUUGGUUUGACAGUUAAUUUUGGAACGGCAAAGUGAUGCAUGAAGCAAUUCUUUAUUUGAGGGAACAAAACUUACAUCAUUGCUGUAGACUUUAACAUAUACAGGACUUUUCUCAUCAAUCUUUUUUACUCCACUUACUUUAAAUAAUUAAAAUUUAGAAUUAACACCUUCAUACUUCAUGAUCAGCCCCUAACCUCGAAUAUAACUAUUCCAGAGAUUUGCAGCCCUCAUUACCCCUGGAGCUGAUUGAAGCAUACAAAGGAUAUUGAUUUGAGAGAGGCCUCAGGAAAGUCACCUUCAUGCACAUGUUGUAAUCUUCUGCAUUGCUGCAACUGACGCUGCUGCUCAUCUAUCAUCAACCACAGGCAUCGUGUGGUGACAAUUAUUUCGAAAGUGGAUGACUGAUGACAUUUUGCAUGGUUUCAUUUAAAAAUCAGUAAGAUGGACUUUGACAACCUACACGUCUACAAUGUCGCUGGGAUCAAAAGAGAAAACAGCUGACUGAGUCAUAAUCGGCCUUUCGUGACUACACUUAAUGAAGCAGAUGGCAGGGCGAGGCCGGGCAACCAGGAUCUUGGCACAGCUACUUCACUAUACAUCCUCUGGGAUUUUCACCGUUUCGAAUCUGGCUCAAAUUGGGCCACGACUUGGG